rnacentral:rRNA from 1 species
ACUCCUACGGGAGGCAGCAGUGGGGAAUAUUGCACAAUGGGGGAAACCCUGAUGCAGCCAUGCCGCGUGUGUGAAGAAGGCCUUCGGUUGUAAAGCACUUUCAGUAGGGAGGAAGGUAGUGUAGUUAACACCUGCAUUAUUUGUACGUUACCUACAGAAGAAGCACCGGCUAACUCCGUGCCAGCAGCCGCGGUAAUACGGAGGGUGCGAGCGUUAAUCGGAAUUACUGGGCGUAAAGCGCAUGCAGGCGGCCUGUUAAGUCAGAUGUGAAAGCCCGGGGUCUAACCUCGGAAUUGCAUUUGAAACUGGCAGGCUAGAGUCUUGUAGAGGGGUUAGAAUUUCGAGGUGUAGCGGUGAAAUGCGUAGAGAUCUGAAGGAAUACCGAGU